GAUGAACGCUGGCGGCGUGCCUAAUACAUGCAAGUCGAGCGAACAGACGAGGAGCUUGCUCCUCUGACGUUAGCGGCGGACGGGUGAGUAACACGUGGAUAACCUACCUAUAAGACUGGGAUAACUUCGGGAAACCGGAGCUAAUACCGGAUAAUAUAUUGAACCGCAUGGUUCAAUAGUGAAAGACGGUUUUGCUGUCACUUAUAGAUGGAUCCGCGUCGCAUUAGCUAGUUGGUAAGGUAACGGCUUACCAAGGCAACGAUGCGUAGCCGACCUGAGAGGGUGAUCGGCCACACUGGAACUGAGACACGGUCCAGACUCCUACGGGAGGCAGCAGUAGGGAAUCUUCCACAAUGGGCGAAAGCCUGACGGAGCCACGCCGCGUGAGUGAUGAAGGUCUUCGGGUCGUAAAACUCUGUUAUUAGGGAAGAACAAAUGUGUAAGUAACUAUGCACGUCUUGACGGUACCUAAUCAGAAAGCCACGGCUAACUACGUG
rnacentral:rRNA from 1 species